rnacentral:rRNA from 1 species
AUUGAACGCUGGCGGCAUGCUUUACACAUGCAAGUCGAACGGCAGCGCGGGCUUCGGCCUGGCGGCGAGUGGCGAACGGGUGAGGAAUGCGUCGGAACGUGCCCAGUAGUGGGGGAUAGCUCGGCGAAAGCCGGAUUAAUACCGCAUACGACCUGAGUGUGAAAGCGUGGGAUCUUCGGACCUCGCGCUAUUGGAUCUGCCGAUGGCAGGUUAGCUAGUUGGUGGGGUAAAGGCCUACCAAGGCGACGAUCUGUAGCUGUGGUGAGAGGACGACCAGCCACAAUGGGACUGAGAAACGGCCCCGAAUCCUACGGGAGGAGGCAGUGGGGAAUUUUGGACAAUGGGCGAAAGCAUGAUCCAGCAAUGCCGCGUGUGUGAUGAAGGCCUUCGGGUUGUAAAGAACUUUUGGCGGGAACGAAAAGGACUGUGCCAAUACCACGGUUCGAUGACGGUACCCGCAGAAUAAGCACCGGCUAACUACGUG